rnacentral:rRNA from 1 species
UACGAAGGGGGCUAGCGUUGCUCGGAAUUACUGGGCGUAAAGGGCGCGUAGGCGGAUACUUAAGUUAGAGGUGAAAGCCCAGGGCUCAACCCUGGAAUAGCCUUUAAUACUGGGUAUCUUGAGUUCGGGAGAGGUGAGUGGAGUGCCGAGUGUAGAGGUGAAAUUCGUAGAUAUUCGGCGGAACACCAGUGGCGAAGGCGACUCACUGGCCCGAUACUGACGCUGAGGCGCGAAAGCGUGGGGAGCAAACAGG